AUUGAACGCUGGCGGCAGGCCUAACACAUGCAAGUCGAACGGUAACAGAAAGCAGCUUGCUGCUUUGCUGACGAGUGGCGGACGAGUGAGUAAUGUCUGGGAAACUGCCUGAUGGAGGGGGAUAACUACUGGAAACGGUAGCUAAUACCGCAUAACGUCGCAAGACCAAAGAGGGGGACCUUCGGGCCUCUUGCCAUCGGAUGUGCCCAGAUGGGAUUAGCUUGUUGGUGGGGUAACGGCUCACCAAGGCGACGAUCCCUAGCUGGUCUGAGAGGAUGACCAGCCACACUGGAACUGAGACACGGUCCAGACUCCUACGGGAGGCAGCAGUGGGGAAUAUUGCACAAUGGGCGCAAGCCUGAUGCAGCCAUGCCGCGUGUAUGAAGAAGGCCUUCGGGUUGUAAAGUACUUUCAGCGGGGAGGAAGGGAGUAAAGUUAAUACCUUUGCUCAUUGACGUUACCCGCAGAAGAAGCACCGGCUAACUCCGUG
rnacentral:rRNA from 1 species